GUUCUUCAAUAGCUCAGUGGUAGAGCAGUCAGCUAUUAUCUGACUGGUUGUUGGGUCCAAAUCCGAAUUUGGGAGA
rnacentral:tRNA from 1 species